rnacentral:rRNA from 1 species
AAGGAAUAUUGGUCAAUGGACGCAAGUCUGAACCAGCCAUGCCGCGUGAAGGAUGAAGGUCCUCUGGAUUGUAAACUUCUUUUAUCUGGGACGAAAACGGGAUUUUUAUCUCAAUUGACGGUACCAGAGGAAUAAGCACCGGCUAACUCCGUGCCAGCAGCCGCGGUAAUACGGAGGGUGCGAGCGUUAUCCGGAUUUACUGGGUUUAAAGGGUGCGUAGGUGGGCUUAUAAGUCAGUGGUGAAAUCUCCGAGCUUAACUUGGAAACUGCCGUUGAUACUAUAGGUCUUGAAUUAUCUGGAGGUAAGCGGAAUAUGUCAUGUAGCGGUGAAAUGCUUAGAUAUGACAUAGAACACCAAUUGCGAAGGCAGCUUACUACAUAUAAAUUGACGCUGAGGCACGGAAGCGUGGGGAUCAAACA